GAUGAACGCUGACAGAAUGCUUAACACAUGCAAGUCAACUUGAAUUUGGGUUUUUAACUUAGGUUUGGGUGGCGGACGGGUGAGUAACGCGUAAAGAACUUGCCUCACAGCUAGGGACAACAUUUGGAAACGAAUGCUAAUACCUAAUAUUAUGAUAAUAGGGCAUCCUAUAAUUAUGAAAGCUAUAAGCGCUGUGAGAGAGCUUUGCGUCCCAUUAGCUAGUUGGAGAGGUAACGGCUCACCAAGGCGAUGAUGGGUAGCCGGCCUGAGAGGGUGAUCGGCCACAAGGGGACUGAGACACGGCCCUUACUCCUACGGGAGGCAGCAGUGGGGAAUAUUGGACAAUGGACCGAGAGUCUGAUCCAGCAAUUCUGUGUGCACGUUGAAGUUUUUCGGAAUGUAAAGUGCUUUCAGUUGGGAAGAAACAAAUGACGGUACCAACAGAAGAAGUGACGGCUAAAUACGUG
rnacentral:rRNA from 1 species